rnacentral:rRNA from 1 species
UACGUAGGGUGCGAGCGUUGUCCGGAAUUAUUGGGCGUAAAGGGCUCGUAGGCGGUUUGUCGCGUCGGGAGUGAAAACCUCGGGCUUAACUCGGGGCUUGCUUUCGAUACGGGCAGACUAGAGGUAUGCAGGGGAGAACGGAAUUCCUGGUGUAGCGGUGAAAUGACGCAGAUAUCAGGAGGAACACCGGUGGCGAAGGCGGAUCUCUGGGCCUUACCUGACGCUCAGGCGCGAAAGCUAGGGGAGCGAACAGG